ensembl:miRNA bta-mir-2462 bta-mir-2462
GUCACCUCGGUCCAGUCAGAACUUUCUUUGUUUCUUUGAAGAGAAAGGAUUGGCUGAAUUGUAGGUGAC